GGUUCUGGAGAGGCCGCCUGAGAAACGGCGACCACUUCCAAGGAAGGCAGCAGGCGCGCAAAUUACCCACUCUCAAAACGAGGAGGUAGUGAAGAGAAUAACGAUGUUAGUCUUUUUUAGGCUGACAAUCGGAAUGGAAAAACUCUAAAAGGUUAUUGAUUAACAAUUGGAGGGCAAGUCUGGUGCCAGCAGCCGCGGUAAUUCCAGCUCCAAUAAGGAAACUAAAGUUGCUGUGUUUAAAAGCUCGUAGUUGAAUUUCGGGUAUUUGUUGCUAGUUGGUCUUUUCGGGCCAUAUUGGUUAACAGAUCCUCACUUGCUGGACGGCUGGCGAUGAUCUUUAUCGGUUGUCGUCAGUUGCCAGAACGUUUACUUUGAGAAAAUUAGAGUGCUAAAAGCAGGCUCACGCCUAUAUAUAUUGCAUGGAAUAAUGAAAUAAGAUCUCGAUUUUAUUUCGUUGGUUUUAGAAAUUGAGAUAAUGAUUAAUAGGAUCAGAGGGG
rnacentral:rRNA from 1 species